rnacentral:rRNA from 1 species
UACGUAGGGCGCAAGCGUUGUCCGGAAUUAUUGGGCGUAAAGAGCUCGUAGGCGGUUUGUCGCGUCUGCUGUGAAAACCUAAGGCUCAACCUUGGGCUUGCAGUGGGUACGGGCAGACUAGAGUGCGGUAGGGGUGACUGGAAUUCCUGGUGUAGCGGUGGAAUGCGCAGAUAUCAGGAGGAACACCGAUGGCGAAAGGCAGGGUCACCUGGGCCGCAACUGACGC